rnacentral:lncRNA from 1 species
CGGCCGAGACUCUGUCCUAAAAAAAAAAUAAAACUAAAGUGGAUGAAGGAAUGUAAGAAUGAGCAGUGUAGCCUGUUUGUCCAUCCACAUGAAGCCAUCUGGUAACAAUGGGACCUGGGUCCAGCUUCGUAGCCUGCCUGCCUUUCUUCUUUUCUCUCUCUCUCUCUCUCUCUCUCUCUUUCUUCCUUUCUUUCUCUUUUUCUUUUUUUUCCUUCCUUCCUUCCUUAAACAUUUAUUUAUUUAUUAUAUGUAAGUACACUGUAGCUGUCUUCAGACACACCAGAAGAGGGCAUCAGAUCUCGUUAAGGAUGGUUGUGAGCCACCAUGCGGUUGCUGGGAUUUGAACUCAGGGCCUUUGGAAGAGCAGUCAGUGCUCUUAACCGCUGAGCCAUCUCUCCAGCCCCUCCAUAGCCUUUCUGUCUGCUCACAGUUUAUACAUGCUCCUCUAGGUUUCUACUGGGAGUGACUUGAUAUAGGUAAAGCAUUUAGAUUAAACUCAAUGAUAAGAAUUAUGUCUCCCGUGAGGCCUUUUUCUUGGGGUAAAGAGGCUGUUGUGGCUUACAGACCGGUCCUCUAGCUUUUCAUACUUACUACUUCUAAACAAUGCAUUUCUCCAAAUUGUCAUUACACAGAGCAGGGGCAUGGAUUGCCAGACUCUGGAAAGAGCCACAUUCUGACGAUGCUGGGAAGUUGUAGAAAUCAAAGUCAAGUGCACAGGUACUCCUGGAAAUCUGACUUCCACGAUGUCACAGAGACCUCCAGUGGACCAUGCACAGCUGAGGUGCAGGCAGCCAGACAGGGAUGACAGCAUCCAGUCAGGGAUGGCAGCCAUUGCUCAAGGGUGAUUACCAGUGACUUCUAGACACUUAACAUGGCUGUGCUGAGCUUAGGGACAUUAAGGCAUUGUCUCUCAUGCUGGAAAACCACUGCUCCUCAGUGGCCCUUCUCACAGUGAGAGAAGAGAGCUCUGGGAGAGCGGCUGUCCCAGAGCUGGUGGGCGGUCCUGGCCUGCACCUGUGAGUCCUGAGUGAGGCUGAGCAGCUGUGGUCUUGGAUAGAUAUUUAAACUUUUACAUCUGACCACACUUGAGGUCACAGUGUCUUUUGUCAUGUCUGAAGUCGCUUGUUAGGAAUUUAAAUGUGGAGAUUUUGUCUCCUGGCUUUCAGUGUCUUCUAACUUUGCCUAUGAUUUUCUAAAAGUUUUUUGUUUUUUGUUUUUUGGUUUUUUUAAAGGAAACUUGCCAAGUUGGCUUUAUUUUCAAUUUUGUGGAGGAGUGUUGAACUUCCCAGCUCUUUCUGAGUAGAAGUGUCUUGAAUGUCUUACUAGAUUCCUUUAAAACUGAAACCUCAGAGACAAGGUUUAUUUAAAUGUGCAUUUAAAAAUUAUUCCUUGGGCCUGAGGAGGAUCAAUCAGUGUUUUAAGAGUACAAUGUUACUUUCACAGAGGACACAGGUUCAAUUCCCAGCCCCUACAUGGUGGCUCGUAACCACCUGAAACUCCAGUUCCAAGGGAUCCAAUACCCUCUUCUGACCGGGGUGUACACCAGGCAUUCACAUGAUACAUAUAUGAAGACAAAACACUAAAAAAUUAAACAUUCUUAUUUAAAAUGUGUAUGAUAAAAGCCAACUUGUAUUAAAUAUUGACUCCCUGCUUUACUUAAUUUACUCAUAUUAUAUAUUAAGAAUUAUUCCAUGGUGUUUGUUAUUAUGCUUUAUUAAUUAGGAAACAGUGAAGAGAGGGCUAAUUGCAUGUCCAAAUGACAAUUUGGUGGAGUUGGAAUGCAACUCUGGGUUUGUCUGUUUCCCCACCUCAGCUCAUAACAAUGUCAAGCCAUCUGGAAAUAAGGUGUGUGUGUGUGACUGCGGUCUUCUGUAGGGAAUGCUACAGUGGAAAAUCCUCAUUAUCUGCAAGUGUACAGUGGAUAUUCUAUAGAAUGUCCUGAUUAGUUCAGGACAGGGACAAUGAUUUAAAAUUUGAAUUGUGACCAUUGCUAUAAAUAAAACUGACAGUUUUAAGUAUAGAUAUCCAGAAAUUAUUUUGGUUUAAGGUAAGGUAUAAACCUCCAUUCAAAAUUCUUUAUCCCCCCCCUUUUUUUAAUCUUUAGCUGCACUCUUCUCCUUUGGUUCCCUAUUUUCUUUUCACUCUUCCUCUUCCUCCUCUCCUUCCUUCUCUUCCAGCCCCUCCUCUAUUUCUUCCUCCUUUCGAUGCUUACCUUCUGAGGCAGGAGUCACACCCGUAUCAACCACCUCUGACCUAGCUAAGUUGGCUUCCCCGGUCCAACUAGAUUUUCUUCUCUGUGUUUCCUGAGGUUAAUCCUGUACCAUGUCAUGCUUCAUCUCUGAGUGUGACUUCUCCACGCUCACUGAUUUGCUCGCCCACAGGCACCUCAGCCCUUGGGUGCUGAAGCAACGCCGUCUUGGAGCAAGUGGUAGCGAGGAGGUGUGGCUGGAGGAACUAGAUUAGCCUUGUCACUUGGUUCUGCAUGCAGGAUGUGUAAUGGUUUCUAGACAGUUGAGUACUUUUCACUCUGACUGUACAGUUGGCACCAUCACAUAGAUGGAUGGUGUUGGGCAAGUUAACUCAAGCCUCAGGCACCUAAGGUCUCUUUAUUAGUCAAAACUAUCAUUGAUUUUAUACACACACACACACACGUGUAUAUAUAUAUUAAAUUAAGAAAGUCUUACUCUGUGUUUCCUUGGCUGGCUUGAAACUCAAUGUGUAGACCAGGCUGGCCUCAACCUCUAAGGCAGCCCACCUGCCUUUGCCCCCAGCCCUGCACCCCCCACUGUUAUUUUAUUAUUAUUAUAUCUUAAGUAGAUAGUCUCACUAUCUCAGCCCACAAUGACUCCAAGUUUUGGGUUCAGUUGAUUCUCCUUGCUUUAGUCUCCUUACUACCUUGGCUACAGGUAGGGUGUCUGAACCUGCGGGGUGACAGUGUUUAGUAUUCACACCAAAUAUUU